rnacentral:rRNA from 1 species
CCUACGGGAGGCAGCAGUAAGGAAUAUUGGACAAUGGGCGCAAGCCUGAUCCAGCCAUGCCGCGUGCAGGAAGACGGCCCUAUGGGUUGUAAACUGCUUUUAUACGGGAAGAAACCCCACUACGUGUAGUGGGCUGACGGUACUGUAAGAAUAAGGAUCGGCUAACUCCGUGCCAGCAGCCGCGGUAAUACGGAGGAUCCAAGCGUUAUCCGGAUUUAUUGGGUUUAAAGGGUGCGUAGGCGGUUUUGUAAGUCAGUGGUGAAAGUUUUCAGCUUAACUGAAAAUUGCCAUUGAUACUGCAGGACUUGAGUACAGAUGAGGUAGGCGGAAUGUGACAAGUAGCGGUGAAACGCAUAGAUAUGUCACAGAACACCGAUUGCGAAGGCAGCUUACUAAAGUGUAACUGACGCUGAGGCACGAAAGCGUGGGGAUCAAACAGGAUUAGAUACCCUGGUAGUCCACGCCCUAAACGAUGAUUACUCGAUGUGUGCGAUAACAAGUACGACGUCCGACGACGAAGACGUUAACGUUAAGUACCGACCGUCGGGUAGGUACGGUCGGCGAAGAGUUAGUUAAACGUUAAAGUUAAGUUAAGUUAGUACGGCGUUGAGACGUUGCCGACGGACGACCGACGAGGGGAGGUUAGG